rnacentral:rRNA from 1 species
UACAGAGACUGCAAGCGUUAUUCGGAUUCACUGGGCGUAAAGGGUGCGCAGGCGGUCAAGUGUGUCAGAUGUGAAAUCCCGAGGCUCAACCUCGGAACUGCGUCUGAAACUAUUUGACUAGAGUAUUGGAGAGGGUAACGGAAUUCACGGUGUAGCAGUGAAAUGCGUAGAUAUCGUGAGGAACACCAGAGGCGAAGGCGGUUACCUGGACAAUUACUGACGCUCAGGCACGAAAGCAUGGGGAUCAAAAGGG